CGGCUUGUCAUUGGGGAGUAGCCGCCCUUCUUCAUUGAGAGGGGCUUGCGUCAACAGACUUGUCAGCCCCCGCGGCCGACAUGGCGCAAGCAGGGCGCGCACGGGAUUGUGAUCACGUGUGUGUCUUGGCGAGACCUUUGACUGCACGCCUCCGAUUUUGGCCGGGGGUGUCGUGCAGUCAUUGGUUUUAUCCCGGCCGUGGAAUCCU
rnacentral:sRNA from 1 species